ACGUCAAGGCUCAUGGACAAGCUGUCUAAGAAGUAACCUACCCCGUGUCCAUUGGAGGCAGCAGGAAGUGGCCGGAAAAGCCGUGUGUCCGGCCCCCAAGCAUUCUGCCACCUAAACAGCAGCAUGCCCUUGAGAAUAACCACUGCUGUGCUGCUUCUGACCGCUGGGUCCCCAGUCCUCCCUCGCACUUGAAUGUGAUGAAGGAAAUGUGAAGGUGCUUCUGAAAGGUGAAUUCUGUUGUUUUAAUUGGAACAUCCUGCUGCUGCUGCUGCUGCUGCUAAGUCGCUUCAGUCGUGUCCGACUCUGUGCGACCCCAGAGACGGCAGCCCACCAGGCCCCGCCGUCCCUGGGAUUCUCCAGGCAAGAACACUGGAGUGGGUUGCCAUUUCCUUCUCCAAUGCAUGAAAGUGGAAAGUGAAAGUGAAGUCGCUCAGUCGUGUCCGACUCUCAGUGACCCCAUGGACUGCAGCCUACCAGGCUCCUCCAUCCAUGGGGUUUUCCAGCUAAGAGUACUGGAGUGGGGUGCCAUUGCCUUCUCUGGAACAUCCUACGAUCUGUCAUUUUCCCCAUCACGUUAGCUGUGAAAGGAGCAAAAGGAAGAAGCAAAACAAAAAUCAUACCCUGAAACUGACAGCAGUAGAUUAUGAGUGACGAAAAUGUAAUAAGCUGAUAAAAGCGCCUUUGACGUCUGGCAGAGAUGACUGCAAGUUUCAGCUGAAUUGGUUUUCCAGGAUUUCGCAUUUAUGCGCCUUUGUAGUUUCACUUUGACAAGGGGUAGUGUUUGUGAGCGAAGCCUUCAUGCAAUAAGGAACUGAGAGAUUGAAGCCCUCAUGCAAUAAGGAAC
ensembl:lncRNA